GAGGGCAAGAGAGAGGGAUAAAGUCAUCCCUGCUUUCCUCUGUCAUGAGAAGGCAUGGAGACCUGAAAAAAAUGUCUGUCCCGCUGGUCACUGGGAAUCCCGGCUCUGCGCAAAGCGAGAGGCUGGAUGCUGGGGGCAAGGACCCCAGGCCCACAUCUGCAAACUGGGUGUUCUGAGGACCUCCUGAACCUCACACACACAGAGCAUUGCAGCACCUGUCCCUUGCAAGAACUGAAGGAUAUCUUAGAGCUCAGGAUUCAGCAUCUGAAUGAGGAAUGUCCCUCAAGGACACCCCACCUUUGUAACAGAUCAAUUCAAACGCACAAGCCCUUCAGCCAGUAAGUUUGCAAAGAGGUGCUUUGGGGCUGGGUGAACAGUGUGAGUCCCCCAGUCAGCAGAACUUCUAGUUAAGACUCCUGAGUCAUGGAGAGCUCUUCUCCAUUCUCCGUUUACUAACUGAACUUGAGUGGCCUGGUGCAGGCCCCUGGAGCCGCCUGGAACGCAGGGCCACCUCCCUGUCCUGACAGUGCACACUUUCCCCCCUUUGACCUCAGCAGGCACUUUCUCAGCAUCCUUCCUAACCCCUGGCCAGCUGGCCCACCCUGAGCCCUCGGGAUACGGGGUGAGGGUGAGCUGCCUGGUGGGUGUGAUGGGUUUUAUCCAUUCAUCUGUUUGCUUGGGUCCUGCUCUGGUCCAGAAGGGGCUGGGAGGUCAAAGGGAAAGUUUGUAUCCGAGGAACAUAAAUUACAAGCAAGAGUGAAAGCAGGAAGGGACCAGGAAGGAACAGACCUCGAGCCAGAACUGAGAAGGAAACAGACCAGACCAGACGAUGCCGGAACUGUUCCCAGGCUCCUGGCAGGGACAAGAUGCCAGCUUCCACGUCACAUGGUCCUGGCUCUGAAUAGUCCAAACCUCAGUGAGGCGGAUUCCUGCUAGAUGGGGUUGCUGGGGACCUAGCCACACCCAUCCUGGGGUAUCUCAGGAGAGACUGGCCGUGCAGAGUUGGCAGCAGGGUUCCAAACAGCAAGUCAGCCAAGCCAUUUCCCCUGGGUGUACCAGGGAAAGUCAACUGUUCAGUCCAGCGGGGAUAUACAUGGCUGAAAACUGAAAGAAAUCUCUAGACUAUUC